GAGAGAGAGAUUACUCUAUAUUCACUGUUUUAAAAAUUGCCAAAAUGAAAUUUCACCCAGCAUUUUUUUUACAAUGUUUAUGAUUUCUUCUCUUAUUUUACCCUGUUAUUUCCCCCACCCAAUAUUGAUUAAAAAAGGAAUCAAGGAGUUCUCUGAGACAGAGCAUGAUAUCAAUCAUGCAAUUUAUUCUGACGUGAAUUGUAUCUUGGCAUGGUAGAGGACAAGCUGAUGCAUUUGAAGCACCAUCAGGACUGGCAGCAAGAAAACGUGGUGGAUUGAGGAGAGCAACAGUUCACGCUACCCCCUUUACUGUCACCAUAUUUUGGGGAGAAAUGAACCACAUGAUCCCAGUGAUUUAAGAACACUGACAGCAUCUGAUAUUUUGAACCUCUUUGGGUAAAUGGUAGCCGAGAUGAGGAAGAAAAGAGGAAAAUGAAGCAGCAGCAAGGCACCUCUCCACCGUGCCUGGGUCCAGCUCCAGCUGAGAGCCCCCCUCCCUCCUGCUGCCAACUGUCUCUGGAGAGGCCGCCAGUGAGGGAGGAAGCAACAGCCAGGCACCUCUCCACCGUGCCUGGGUCCAGCUCCAGCUGAGAGCCCCCUCCCUCCUGCCACCAACUGUCUCUGCAGAGGCCACCAGUGAGGGAGGAAGCAGCAGCCAGGCACCUCUCCACCGUGCCUGGGUCCAGCUCCAGCUGAGAGCCCCCUCCCUCCUGCUGUCAACUGUAACUGCUGAACUUUGCAACUAAGAUUGUAGUGCCUGAAUCUACUUUCCUUUCCCCCCUCCUCCUCCUCCCUCCCAAUCCCCUUUCCUUUUGUGUCAUGUCUUUUAGAUUGUAAGCCUGUGGGCAGGGACUGUCAAGAAAUACUUUUGUAAGCCGCCGUGAGAGCCUUUUUUGGCUGAAUGGCAGCAUAAAAAUCCUUAAAUAAAUAAAUAAAAUAAAUAAAUAAACAAGCAGAGCUUCUUGAAGCAAGGGUGGGUAUAACAGGCCAAUGAACUUCUAUCCCUUUCUAUACCUGCCCUCAACCCCACACCCCUGUAUUUAAGUACAUUUGUUCUGCUUUUUGUACUCAUCAGAGAUUUGUUCUGGAUGGACUGGAAAAUCACUUGUGGUUUUUAUUUAUUUAUUUAUUUUAAACCAAACCUAUCAAAUUACCCACCGUUAAUUAAAUAACAUGAUUCUGUCCAUUGAAGCUAAUGCAUUAAAGUAUUUAAUGUUUGUUUGGUAAACUGCUUUACUAAAUGCUCCUUUGACUUUUAUUGGUAAUAAACAUUAGCAUUUAUGGCCCAUGAA